GACAUAUCUCCAUUUUCUUGGCAAAUAGCACUAUUUGCUUUUUUCCACAUGUGCCCUAUUAUUUCUUGUCUUUGUGAUAGGUAUUGUGAUGCUGCCUCAACCCUAGCAAAAUGUUUCUAUUAUCCCUGAUUUAUUAUAAUUAUUCUUUCAGGUCAGCCAGAAUGCAAACAACAUUUCCAAGAAUCCUUGACUGAAUCUUCCAAACA
rnacentral:lncRNA from 1 species